rnacentral:tRNA from 1 species
GUGGGCAUAGCUCAAUUGGUUAGAGCGCCAGAUUGUGGCUCUGGAGGCUGUGGGUUCAAUCCCCAUUGCUCACC